rnacentral:rRNA from 1 species
AUUGAACGCUGGCGGCAUGCUUUACACAUGCAAGUCGAACGGCAACAGGGUGCUUGCGCCGCUGACGAGUGGCGAACGGGUGAGUAAUGCGUCGGAACGUGCCGAGUAGUGGGGAUAACGCAGCGAAAGUUGUGCUAAUACCGCAUACGUACUGAGGUAGAAAGUGGGGGACCUUCGGGCCUCACGCUAUUCGAGCGGCCGACGUCUGAUUAGCUAGUAGGUGAGGUAAAGGCUCACCUAGGCGACGAUCAGUAGCGGGUCUGAGAGGAUGAUCCGCCACACUGGGACUGAGACACGGCCCAGACUCCUACGGGAGGCAGCAGUGGGGAAUUUUGGACAAUAGGCGAAAGCCUGAUCCAGCCAUGCCGCGUGUCUGAAGAAGGCCUUCGGGUUGUAAAGGACUUUUGUCGGGGAGGAAAUCCCCAGCGCUAAUACCGCUGGGGGAUGACAGUACCUGAAGAAUAAGCACCGGCUAACUACGUGCCAGCCGCCGCCGUAA